CCUACGGGAGGCAGCAGUGGGGAAUUUUGGACAAUGGGCGAAAGCCUGAUCCAGCCAUGCCGCGUGAGUGAAGAAGGCCUUCGGGUUGUAAAGUUCUUUUAGUCGGAAAGAAAGGGUCGCAAUGAAUAAUUGUGAUUUAUGACGGUACCGACAGAAAAAGCACCGGCUAACUACGUGCCAGCAGCCGCGGUAAUACGUAGGGUGCGAGCGCUAAUCGGAAUUACUGGGCGUAAAGGGUGCGCGGGCGGUCUUGCAAGUCAGAUGUGAAAGCCCCGGGCUUAACCUGGGAAUUGCGUUUGAAACUACAAGGCUAGAGUGCAGCAGAGGGGAGUGGAAUUCCAUGUGUAGCAGUGAAAUGCGUAGAAAUGUGGAAGAACAUCGAUUGGCGAAGGCAGCUCCCUGGGUUGACACUGACGCUCAUGCACGAAAGCGUGGGGAGCAAACAGGAUUAGAUACCCUGGUAGUCCACGCCCUAAACGAUGUCAACUAGUUGUCGGAUCUAAUUAAGGAUUUGGUAACGUAGCUAACGCGUGAAGUUGACGCCUGGGGAGUACGGUCGCAAGAUUAAAACUCAAAGGAA
rnacentral:rRNA from 1 species